ACAGUGAUGGAAGAGUUGAACUCUCACAUCCAGCAAUUGAAUGAAACCCCCUUUGAUUCAACUUCUUUGAAACCUGUUGAUGGCUGAUUAAGCAUGCUGAGAAACAUGCCAUCAUAAUUGGAAGCAUGGAAACAUUGCUCUAGCUCAAAUAUGGACAACUGCUCUAAAGCAGAUCUUCAAAAUACAGUGUACUCAAAGCUUCCAUCCAUUGAAUUCACUGUUCUGUUUUGCUGUUUUAAUACUGAAUGUUUAUUAGCUGAAAAUGUUUGUUUAAUAAAACUG